rnacentral:lncRNA from 1 species
AGAACACUCAGGUACAAAUGCCCAGCUGGAAAAGAAGAUGCAUAUCCAGGAGUAUCAGAAAAUAAAAACAGCAAAAAAGUGUGCAGGUGGAUUUUGGUCUUAGAGUUGUUUAAAUACCAGGGUAGAGUUUGAACUUUAGGUAAUGAGAAGCCAGAGAAAGAUUUUGAGAAGUAAUGAACACCUGCUAAGACUGUAUAAUUUCAAAGCCCUUCAUGUACAAUCUUUCAGCGAGUCCUCUUAACAAUCCUUCAAAGAAGAAACAACAUUAGCGUCCCAUUGUGACUUUUCAGGAAGGUGAGGCUCAGAGAAGGGGUGAUGUUACUAGUUGGGUAGCCAAUCAAUGGUAAAACUGGGUCUCUAAGCUAAAUAGUAUGUAGUGCUUUCAGAAGUUUGAUCAGGGAAUGGCUUGUAGAAUGUAGAACGUAUUAAAAGGAGGGAAACAUUCAGAAGCUAUUGCAGAGACCCAUAAGGUGGAUUCUUUAAGUUAGAAAAAAGUUAGAAAUCUAAAUGCAAACAUCAACCCUCAUGGCCACACUGUGGAUUGUUGCUCUUCUAAGGGGACUGGAGGCAAAGUGAUGGUCUCUGGAUCUAAAAACGAGUUACACCCAUCCAUGUGUCUUUCUCUUCAUCUGACAGAUACAUGAGUAACUGACUUCAUUUACCAAGCAGUCUGCGCACAACGUAAAAUCAUGCUACUCAUCUGAACUGAAAAAUAUUCUUUAUUUUCCAGAAGAGUCUCCAAGCACCAUGUGUGAGAGAACAUGACAGAAUAGAAACUGAUUAUGCAAAAUGUGCGAGAGAGAACUGCAGCUCUUGGUGACAUGUGGCAGCCUCGCUGGGAAAGGAGAGCUGUGGAACUCCGGGUACUGUCUCAAGCUUACUGCUGCCUGUCACAAGCUGAAUGGCAGGAGAGGGUUAAAAUACGAGUUUGUGGGCUGUUGCUCACGGCCUUCUGAGGCAUUCGCAUGCUGCACACACGUGCAGGAAGUUAUCCUGAGAGACCACGCUCAGCUGCAUUCUCACAUAGAGGUUCCCCCUGUUGUAUCAUCCUACCAUAAAGCUUCUGGCCUGGGUGGAAAAGAUGGAAGUGGUAUCUUCUCUCCACUUAGAAGAACUCUGUGA